rnacentral:sRNA from 1 species
AGUUAAUAGUGUAACGAUUUAUCAUGAUCUGCGCCGAAAUUCACGCUCAGA